AGUAUUGUACAAAGUACUCAGACGCUAUCAGAAGAUUUCUUUGUCUUGAUAUUAUUGAAAAAACAUUCGAAAAUACCACGUAAUUUUUAUGAUGCGCAUCCAGUAUGGCGCAGAACAAUAAAAUGGAGGUGCAUCGACGUCAAGUAUUGUGACGUCAGAUCAUCAGACUAUCGUGUCACGGCGAUAAUUGUCCCCACUUGGUCAAGUCAAGCCUUAUUGACACAAAGCAGUUGUUAUUAUACUUGAUGAAAGUCCCAUGCCGUCACACAACGAGGAUAAAAGUCUCAGGAACGUGACAAGCGUGAACAGGUGCCAUCGAACGUCGUUCCUAACUCCAGCAGAGCAAAAAAGAAGACUAGCACGAGAGGAAAAUCAUGGCAGCUUAUCGAGUGCGAAAUGAUUCGAAUUCUGCCAUCACUACAAUCUUUUUUGACUUGGACAACACCCUCAUCGAGACCAGAAAGGGAGACAGUUUAGCUUGUAAAAAGUUUAUAAUCUAGAGUGAAAACAGUACAGAGUACAGUAGUGUUCGUAUCUCGUGGAAACCUUGAAGAGAAGUAGACUGAAGGGCGCGAGAGGUCACGCGAGUCUCAGCAACACACGAGUCUGGUUCACAAUCAUGUGCAGGAAUACGUCGUGUUUGGUAAAUUUGUUUAUAAAUGCGUUCCAAUUCAUUUUAAAGUAACAAAAAAAAAACUUAUACGUCACGUCAACGUUGGUAAAUGCGUUCAGUUCCUCGUGGUGAGUGCGCGAGUCUUUCUUUAUCAUUAACGUUGUUAUAUCGUCGUCCUACGAAGAAAACUCACACCGAGUGUUCAACGAAAAUAGAAGAGUAUGUAACACGAGCCGUUUCCUCAUAUAGCUCUAUCUCCACACGUCGGUGACUAUUUUCGGCGUCAAUAUACAACAGAUGCUUUGCAGUCUUCAUCUCGCGUAUACGUUAAGAAAGUACACCUCCUGCUGCUUAAGUCUAACCGAGAGGUUAGGUAGUAAAUCCUCAAGCAAGUACUUUUGAUAAAAAAGUCUUGGACAAGGUUAUUUUUAUCAUCAAGUGCAUCUUGAAGAUUCUGUUAGCAUGAUCAGAGAUUAAUACUCUGAGAUCUAGUGUUCAGUUAAGUAGAUGUGUUAAAACUAUUAACAUUGGUGACCACUUAGUGUUUCCAAGAAAAUUAACUCUUCAUUCAAGAAAACGACCAAAACAGCAAGUUAUUUUAAUCUUUCAAGAAGAAAUAGCGUGUCAAAGGGCAAGGUUAAAGAAUCUUUACAUUCUAGGAGAGAUGCCAAUUGGCUUUGAACGUUUAUAAACUGGUAAAACACUGAUUGAACUCAGAAGACUGAAUAAACAUAAUUGAACUCUUGUACUACUAUUAAGAUUAAGUGAAUAAUUUAAGUGGCCAGUUUGAUUCCAGCUAAAGACUCAAUAAAUUCUAUCAACAUGAGUAUCCCGGAAGGAGUAACUAAGUGUGCGUCAAUUCUUAAAGCAGUUAGUGGUGAUUCUGAGAAAUUUGCUGCACUUUUCAUGGUAACUAAACUGGUGGAUAGUAAAGAUUGCAGUUCAGCAGCUAAGAAAUUAUUGUUCGAAGCCAUUGGAGCAAAAUUUAUGAAAAAAUUAUUGAUCAGUGAUGAUGUUCCAGUAGAAUGUCCACCUCAAGUUUAUAAAUCUGUUGCUCUCUCGAUACUUUCAGCUUUUUGUACAGAUCCAGAGUUAGCUGCUCAUCCUGAUAUGAUCAUCCACGUGCCUGCUCUUUUGGAAAUAGUUUCUCAGGCUGAUGAAGAUGCUCCUGAUGAUACUUUGAUAAUCGUCAGUGAAGCUUAUACUUGUUUACAAAGCAUCGCACAAUAUCCACCAGGACAAAAAGCACUUUUAGACCAAAGAGCUAUUCCAAGGAUGUGUGAAAUUUAUUCAGAAAAGAGUUUUCAAACUGAUCAGGCUUUGAAUAUUCUCGUAACUCUUGUAAGUCAGCUGGGUCCUGAAGCUUGGGAUGCAAAAGAUACUGCACCUUUCCAUGCAAUCAUGAAUAAAAUAGCAUUAGACUUUGAAACAGAUCAUUCAGAAAGGAAGUUUGAAUUAUGUUCUAUUUUACGAGCUUUAGUUUCAUCGUGUAGAAAAGACGCAGUUGCGAGCACCAGCAAAGAAGAAUCUUGGCCUCAAAGUGUACACAAAGGUCUUAGUGAUAUAUUAGGCUCAAAAAUAACAAAAAAUCAACGAGAUCCAGCAUUAAAACUUGCAGCAGCUGUUAUUGAACUUCUUGGAGUUGAAUGGACUCUGAUUGAUGAAGAAAAGCCCAAAGUAUUGUUUUUAAUUCUUAUUCAAUUGUCUUCUAUUGAAGUGAGAAUGCAAUUAGAAGGAAAACAACUGAAAACUGUUAUAACUAAUGCUGAAUUGGUAACAUCUUGUUUUAUUAUUUUAGAAAUUAUGUUGUCAUAUAUUACCACUGAUCAACUGGAUUUAGAGCAAAAAGAAAAGCAAUCUUUGUACACAGCGCUAAAAGGAGCAUUUUCUGCUGUCAUUGGUUUGCUUACAAAUAUUUCUAAAAUGAAAGAAUUAACAGAUAUCAAAGAGCGAGUCUUUGUCUGUGCCAUGGUGAGAGUUUUAGCUGCUUGGCUUGCUCAGGAAACUUCAGCAAUGCGCCCACAAGUAUAUGCUGUACUGCCUUAUAUGUUAACAAUUGCUAAUGACACAUUUUAUGCUCAUCGAAAUAGAAAAUUAUCAGAGAAAGCUAAAGCUUUAGCUAAACCUGAUGAAGGAUCAUCAUCUGGAGAGCCUGUAGUACAUGACCCUUUGAGUGAAAUUGAUGUCCUUAGAGUUAUGCUGCCAGCAUUAUGUUACUUAGCUGUUGAAGAGGAAGCUAGAAAAAUUCUCUUGAAACAUAAACAAGAAGAAAUUCUUUUUGAAUGUCUAUCUUAUCAUUGGACUAUUGUUCAUUAUAAAAAACCACCAGUUCCUCGUUCAGAGCGCCUGAAGGCAAUUAAAGAGCCUGAGAAAGAACUCGACCCUCAUCUUUUAGAAGAGAUGAAGGAUUCUCGUGCUGCUAUGGUUUCUAUAUGCAACGUUUUGAUGAAUAUUACAGUUCUUGAAGCAAAGUUAGUUGAGCAAUCAUCAACUUUCAUUGGUCUACUGAAGUUUAUUUUCAAUAAUCUGCCAGAACUUAAACAAACUAGUGAAAACCUUGUUCUCCACGGCCAUCUUGCAGUUCUAGGACUUUUACUGCUCAAACAGCAAGCAAAGUUGGUGAAGAAGAAUGACUUUAGCAUUUGUCGUUAUAUUCAGGCUACAAUAAGAUUUCUGUGGGAUGCUUAUACUGUGGAUGAAGGAGAUUAUCAUCCAGAACUUGUUGUUUCCAUGGCUUAUAAAGAACAUUGGAUGGAAAUAAUGGAAUUAUGGUUCUUAGGAAUGCAGACAAUGGCUAGUGUCGUACAACAAAUUCCAUGGCUUUCAGAGUUUGCUAUUGAAUCUGGAUGGGUCGAAGGAAUUUUCGAUAUCUUAAAGAAAGUUCGAACUGGUUCUCUUCCACCGAAUGUCAAAUCUGCUUAUGAAGAUUUACUUUGUCAUCUAGUCAAAGCUGAUUCAAGAGUUAGUGCUGUAUUGAAGAAAUGCGACGCACUUACUGUCUGUAGAAAUCAUCGUAUGAUGGAUUUGGGCAAGUGUUUAUUUGGAGACUAAGAAGAAAAUAUAGAAGAAGAUCAAACAUGAAUAUUUAAUAUGACUGUAUGAAAUGGUUGUGUGAAUAAUUAAAAAAUCGUUUAAUUGACUGAUAGAAUUGGAAUAAAAAAGUUGUUUGCAAUUGAAAAAAACUCAGUAAAAAAAUAGUUUAAUCUAUUCUAAUGGAUUAUUUAUGUAAUAGCAUUUAAAUUUAUGAUUCACUAAAGCAUUACUGCUCAUUGUGUGGAAUGAUAGAUUAUAGACAGAGUUUCUCAUUAUAUUUUUAGGCGCAUCAUACCUAGAAAUAGUUCUUUGGCAAGCUAGACGAUGCUGAAAAUUGUAUUUAUACUUUCUUAGUCGAAUGAUAUUAGUCAUUUGAAUUGAUAAACAUGUUUACUCACUUUUGAUCAAUGGAGUACUUCAUAAAUUGUAUUUUUACUUAUUUCUACAUUUCUUGCAACAACUCAUUACUAGAAUAUUUUAUCAGAAAAAUUUUUGUGUAUUAUUUUUCUGAGUAAAUUUUUGUUUCAAACAACCAGCAUCGUCUUGGUGGCUGUGCUAUUUUUAUUUCUUUUUUACGAUGCGAUUUUCUACAACCAGAUUAAUACGAAAAAUUAUAAUUUUUUCAACAAAUAAUAAAACCAGAAAUUGAUUUAAUGAGUCAGACUAAAAAUUUCUCAAAGUAAUAAACAUUACAUAAAAAUUGAAACUAUAAAAACACAAGAAAAAAAUGUAUCAAAAAAAUUGUAAUUGAUUAAACGAAAUUAAUUUUUAUAAAUUUCGUAUUUUUUAUUUAUUUAUGAUCUCCUUGGUUAUAAACAUUGGUGUGCUUUCAACAUUUUUUGUUAUCAGACUUAUUUGGAAACAAAUUUCUAUUGCCAAUUAAGUCUGUUGUUGGCACAACUGAUUUUGUUGUGAUUACAGCAGUGUCCGUGGGUGCGUCUUCAAGUGUCCAAAUAAAUCGGCACGGGUAUUUGAUUCAGUCAAUGCAAUUUUCUAGCUUACGGAGGAGUUGACGCAGCUGUACAACGUGCCUCAUGAGACAUCAUCAAGGAUCACUGCAACAUACCUG
rnacentral:misc_RNA from 1 species